AUUGAACGCUGGCGGCAGGCCUAACACAUGCAAGUCGAGCGAGCGGCGGACGGGUGUGAAAUGUAUGGGGACUCUCCGAUAGAGGGGGAUAACUAUUGGAAAAGGUAGCGAAUACCGCAUACUAUCGGAUAACCCAUAUGGGAUUAGCUCGUAGGUGUGGUAAUGGCUCACUUAGGCGACGCUCCCUAGCUGGUCUGAGAGGAUGAUCAGCCACACUGGGACUGAGACACGGCCCAGACUCCUACGGAGGCAGCAGUGGGGAAUAUUGCACAAUGGGCGCAAGCCUGAUGCAGCCAUGCCGCGUGUAUGAAGAAGGCCCUAGGGUUGUAAAGUACUUUCAGCCGGGAGGCGUUACCGACAGAAGAAGCACCGGCUAACUCCGUGCCAGCAGCCGCGGUAAUUC
rnacentral:rRNA from 1 species